UGUUACAGUGACAAGUAUGUGAUGGGGCUUAGAGUGAAAGUUACAAGUCUGGAGAAUCUGUCAG